CAGGUGCUGCACGGCUGUCGUCAGCUCGUGUCGUGAGAUGUUGGGUUAAGGUCCCGCAACGAGCGCAACCCUCGUCGUUAGUUGCUAACAGUUUGGCUGAGCACUCUAACGAGACUGCCUUCGUAAGGAGGAGGAAGGUGAGGACGACGUCAAGUCAUCAUGGCCCUUACGGCCAGGGCUACACACGUGCUACAAUGGGGCGUACAAAGAGCUGCAAUACCGCGAGGUGGAGCCAAUCUCUUAAAGCGUCUCUCAGUUCGGAUUGUUCUCUGCAACUCGAGAACAUGAAGCUGGAAUCACUAGUAAUCGUAGAUCAGCUAUGCUACGGUGAAUACGUUCCCGGGUCUU
rnacentral:rRNA from 1 species